UACGUAGGGUGCAAGCGUUGUCCGGAAUUAUUGGGCGUAAAGGGCUCGUAGGCGGUCCAUCGCGUCGGGAGUGAAAAGCUGGGGCUCAACCCCAGUCCUGCUUUCGAUACGGGUGGACUAGAGGUAUGCAGGGGAGAACGGAAUUCCUAGUGUAGCGGUGAAAUGCGUAGAGAUUAGGAAGAACACCAGUGGCGAAGGCGACUUACUGGACCGUAACUGACGCUGAGGCAUGAAAGCGUGGGAAGCAAACAGG
rnacentral:rRNA from 1 species